rnacentral:rRNA from 1 species
AGAGUUUGAUCCUGGCUCAGGAUGAACGCUAGCGGCAGGCCUAACACAUGCAAGUCGAGGGGUAACAGGGAUUGCUUGCAAUCCGCUGACGACCGGCGCACGGGUGCGUAACGCGUAUACAAUCUGCCUCUUACUGCGAGAUAGCCCAGAGAAAUUUGGAUUAAUAUCGCAUGGUAUUAUAUUACGGCAUCGUAUUUAUAAUUAAAGGUUACGGUAAGAGAUGAGUAUGCGUCCUAUUAGAUAGUUGGUAAGGUAACGGCUUACCAAGUCAGCGAUAGGUAGGGGCCCUGAGAGGGGGAUCCCCCACACUGGUACUGAGACACGGACCAGACUCCUACGGGAGGCAGCAGUGAGGAAUAUUGGACAAUGGGGGCAAGCCUGAACCAGCCAUGCCGCGUGCAGGAAGACGGCCCUAUGGGUUGUAAACUGCUUUUAUUAGGGAAUAAACCCUCAUAUGUAUAUGGGGCUGAAGGUACCUAAAGAAUAAGCACCGGCUAACUCCGUGCCAGCAGCCGCGGUAAUACGGAGGGUGCAAGCGUUAUCCGGAUUUAUUGGGUUUAAAGGGUGCGCAGGCGGGCCUAUCAGUCAGUGGUGAAAUCUCCCGGCUUAACCGGGAAACUGCCAUUGAUACUGUAGGUCUUGAGUUUGGUUGAAGUGGGCGGAAUGUAGCAUGUAGCGGUGAAAUGCAUAGAUAUGCUACAGAACACCGAUCGCGAAGGCAGCUCACUAAACCAAAACUGACGCUCAGGCACGAAAGCGUGGGUAGCGAACAGGAUUAGAUACCCUGGUAGUCCACGCCGUAAACGAUGAUCACUCGUUGUUGGCGACACACAGUCAGUGACCAAGCGAAAGCGAUAAGUGAUCCACCUGGGGAGUACGUUCGCAAGAAUGAAACUCAAAGGGAAUUGACGGGGGCCCGCACAAGCGGUGGAGCAUGUGGUUUAAUUCGAUGAUACGCGAGGAACCUUACCUGGGCUCAAAUGUAAGUUGACGUAGGGUGAAAGCCAUAUUUCUUCGGACAAUUUACAAGGUGCUGCAUGGUUGUCGUCAGCUCGUGCCGUGAGGUGUCGGGUUAAGUCCCAUAACGAGCGCAACCCCUAUUCUUAGUUGCCAUCAGGUCAUGCUGGGGACUCUAGGAAAACUGCCUACGCAAGUAGAGAGGAAGGUGGGGAUGACGUCAAAUCAGCACGGCCCUUACGUCCAGGGCUACACACGUGCUACAAUGGCCGGUACAGAGGGCAGCCACCCCGUGAGGGGGAGCGAAUCUCGAAAGCCGGUCUCAGUUCGGAUCGAAGUCUGCAACCCGACUUCGUGAAGCUGGAAUCGCUAGUAAUCGCGCAUCAGCCAUGGCGCGGUGAAUACGUUCCCGGGCCUUGUACACACCGCCCGUCAAGCCAUGGAAGCUGGGAGUACCUGAAGUCGGUAACCGUUAAGGAGCUGCCUAGGGUAAAACUAGUGACUGGGGCUAAGUCGUAACAAGGUA